AUGAACGCUGGCGGCGUGCCUCAUACAUGCCAGUCGCGCGAACAGACGAGGAGCUUGCUCCUCUGACGUUAGCGGCGGACGGGUGAGUAACACGUGGAUAACCUACCUAUAAGACUGGGAUAACUUCGGGAAACCGGAGCUAAUACCGGAUAAUAUAUUGAACCGCAUGGUUCAAUAGUGAAAGACGGUUUUGCUGUCACUUAUAGAUGGAUCCGCGCCGCAUUAGCUAGUUGGUAAGGUAACGGCUUACCAAGGCAACGAUGCGUAGCCGACCUGAGAGGGUGAUCGGCCACACUGGAACUGAGACACGGUCCAGACUCCUACGGGAGGCAGCAGUAGGGAAUCUUCCGCAAUGGGCGAAAGCCUGACGGAACAACGCCGCGUGAGUGAUGAAGGUCUUCGGAUCGUAAAACUCUGUUAUUAGGGAAGAACAAAUGUGUAAGUAACUAUGCACGUCUUGACGGUACCUAAUCAGAAAGCCACGGCUAACUACGUG
rnacentral:rRNA from 1 species